rnacentral:sRNA from 1 species
GACCUUGUUUUCGAAUUGUCACCGUACGGUGCGCGUUCUAAACCAAACGUUUAGAUAGAAAGCAAGGUCGCUU